AUGGAGAAGGGAAGACCACCAGCCCUUCAUUCUGAGUAUUCCUGGACAGAAAGGAGGUCCCAGUCCUGCCUGCUUCUUCUGAAACUGCUGGCAAGAGAACAACUGCAGGGCUGGCAAGCUGGGGGCCCAGGAAGGCUAUGGGCAUGGGGCAGAUGCUUCCUGCUCAGGGAGCCUUGCCAUGGCUUCGAGGAUACACCACAGGAAGAACAGGGAUGUCCCAGGAAGAGAUGGGAGUGUGGAUGGAGGAACAGGCAGUCAUGGAUGCCAACUUGUAGCUUCCAGGAGGAGGAAGACCUCAUGAGAUGGCUGCCAGUGCGGGACCCCAGCAGCACAGCUUCCCAGUGCCCAGUUGGGAAUUCCUUGGUUCUUGAGAGAGAACCUAGGUCAUUGGCCACUGCUGUCUGCACCUCCAGGCCUACACCGCGUCUUGGAAGCUGAUGUCAGAUGCACCCUCUUGAUGACCCUGUAGAAGAUCUGAAUUACACACAUAUACAAAGCCAUCCUAACCUGCAUGGCAGUGACCUCUCCAGCCCA
rnacentral:lncRNA from 1 species